GAGGCCCUGGCAGUCAGAGGCGAUGAAGGGCGUGCUAAUCUGCGAUAAGCGCCGGUAAGGUGAUAUGAACCGUUAUAACCGGCGAUACCCGAAUGGGGAAACCCAGUGUGAUUCGUCACACUAUCAUUAACUGAAUCCAUAGGUUAAUGAGGCGAACCGGGGGAACUGAAACAUCUAAGUACCCCGAGGAAAAGAAAUCAACCGAGAUUCCCCCAGUAGCGGCGAGCGAACGGGGAGGAGCCCAGAGCCUGAAUCAGCAUGUGUGUUAGUGGAAGCGUCUGGAAAGGCGCGCGAUACAGGGUGACAGCCCCGUACACAAAAGCGCAUGUGCUGUGAGCUCGAUGAGUAGGGCGGGACACGUGGUAUCCUGUCUGAAUAUGGGGGGACCAUCCUCCAAGGCUAAAUACUCCUGACUGACCGAUAGUGAACCAGUACCGUGAGGGAAAGGCGAAAAGAACCCCGGCGAGGGGAGUGAAAAAGAACCUGAAACCGUGUACGUACAAGCAGUGGGAGCACCCUUCGGGGUGUGACUGCGUACCUUUUGUAUAAUGGGUCAGCGACUUAUAUUCUGUAGCAAGGUUAACCGAAUAGGGGAGCCGGAGGGAAACCGAGUCUUAACCGGGCGUUAAGUUGCAGGGUAUAGACCCGAAACCCGGUGAUCUAGCCAUGGGCAGGUUGAAGGUUGGGUAACACUAACUGGAGGACCGAACCGACUAAUGUUGAAAAAUUAGCGGAUGACCUGUGGCUGGGGGUGAAAGGCCAAUCAAACCGGGAGAUAGCUGGUUCUCCCCGAAAGCUAUUUAGGUAGCGCCUCGUGAAUUCAUCUCCGGGGGUAGAGCACUGUUUCGGCUAGGGGGCCAUCCCGGCUUACCAACCCGAUGCAAACUGCGAAUACCGGAGAAUGUUAUCACGGGAGACACACGGCGGGUGCUAACGUCCGUCGUGAAGAGGGAAACAACCCAGACCGCCAGCUAAGGUCCCAAAGUCAUGGUUAAGUGGGAAACGAUGUGGGAAGGCCCAGACAGCCAGGAUGUUGGCUUAGAAGCAGCCAUCAUUUAAAGAAAGCGUAAUAGCUCACUGGUCGAGUCGGCCUGCGCGGAAGAUGUAACGGGGCUAAACCAUGCACCGAAGCUGCGGCAGCGACACUGUGUGUUGUUGGGUAGGGGAGCGUUCUGUAAGCCUGUGAAGGUGUGUCGUGAGGCAUGCUGGAGGUAUCAGAAGUGCGAAUGCUGACAUAAGUAACGAUAAAGCGGGUGAAAA
rnacentral:rRNA from 1 species